GCUUCCCCUGGAGGCAGUGCAGGUGUGGCUGCUGUGUCACACAUGCACCAGCAGGUGGCAGAGAGGAACGAGGCAGUGUCCACACUGGGUGUGCUGACCUGUCACAUCUGAAUGAUUAGCAGCUGAACAUU